rnacentral:rRNA from 1 species
AGUGAACGCUGGCGGUAGGCCUAACACAUGCAAGUCGAACGGCAGCACAGUAAGAGCUUGCCCUUACGGGUGGCGAGUGGCGGACGGGUGAGGCAUACAUCGGAAUCUACUUUUUCGUGGGGGAUAACGUAGGGAAACUUACGCUAAUACCGCAUACGACCUACGGGUGAAAGCAGGGGAUCUUCGGACCUUGCGCGAUUGAAUGAGCCGCUUUCGGAUUAGCUAGUUGGCGGGGUAAAGGCCCACCAAGGCGACGAACCGUAGCUGGUCUGAGAGGAUGAUCAGCCACACUGGAACUGAGACACGGUCCAGACUCCUACGGGAGGCAGCAGUGGGGAAUAUUGGACAAUGGGCGCAAGCCUGAUCCAGCCAUACCGCGUGGGUGAAGAAGGCCUUCGGGUUGUAAAGCCCUUUUGUUGGGAAAGAAAAGCAGCAGGUUAAUACCCCGCUGUUCUGACGGUACCCAAAGAAUAAGCACCGGCUAACUUCGUG